rnacentral:rRNA from 1 species
AGUGGCGGACGGGUGAGUAACGCGUGGGUAACCGUGCCUCAUACAGGGGGAUAGCAGCUGGAAACGGCUGCUAAUACCGCAUAAGCGCACAGUACCGCAUGGUACGGUGUGAAAAACUCCGGUGGUAUGAGAUGGACCCGCGUCUGAUUAGGUAGUUGGUGGGGUAACGGCCUACCAAGCCGACGACCAGUAGCCGACCUGAGAGGGUGACCGGCCACAUUGGGACUGAGACACGGCCCAA